rnacentral:lncRNA from 1 species
CCAACUUCUGUCGUUACACUCAUUUUCUUUAUUUCUUUCUUUUGUUUCUUGAGCCUGUUUUUUGGCUCAAGCUAGCUUAGCUCUGUGCUCUUUUUGUUUUUGGUUUUCUGUGUACUCUGUACUCUGUUCUUUUGUUUUUAAUAAAUUCCUAUAGGGGUCUGGGCCCCUCCAAUUUCCUAAAAAGAAAUCAAAAUAGUUGUGGUCAACUGGUGGCAAUGCCUGUAAUCGGACUUUGAUAGGG